AGUGAACGCUGGCGGUAGGCCUAACACAUGCAAGUCGAACGGCAGCACAGUAAGAGCUUGCUCUUACGGGUGGCGAGUGGCGGACGGGUGAGGAAUACAUCGGAAUCUACUUUUUCGUGGGGGAUAACGUAGGGAAACUUACGCUAAUACCGCAUACGACCUACGGGUGAAAGCAGGGGAUCUUAGGACCUUGCGCGAUUGAAUGAGCCGAUGUCGGAUUAGCUAGUUGGCGGGGUAAAGGCCCACCAAGGCGACGAUCCGUAGCUGGUCUGAGAGGAUGAUCAGCCACACUGGAACUGAGACACGGUCCAGACUCCUACGGGAGGCAGCAGUGGGGAAUAUUGGACAAUGGGCGCAAGCCUGAUCCAGCCAUACCGCGUGGGUGAAGAAGGCCUUCGGGUUGUAAAGCCCUUUUGUUGGGAAAGAAAAGCAGCAGGUUAAUACCCCGCUGUUCUGACGGUACCCAAAGAAUAAGCACCGGCUAACUUCGUG
rnacentral:rRNA from 1 species